UACGGAGGAUCCAAGCGUUAUCCGGAUUUAUUGGGUUUAAAGGGUGCGUAGGCGGCCUAUUAAGUCAGGGGUGAAAGACGGUAGCUUAACUAUCGCAGUGCCUUUGAUACUGAUGGGCUUGAAUGGUACUUGAGGUAGGCGGAAUGUGACAAGUAGCGGUGAAAUGCAUAGAUAUGUCACAGAACACCAAUUGCGAAGGCAGCUUACUAAAGUAUGAUUGACGCUGAGGCGCGAAAGCUAGGGUAGCAAACGGG
rnacentral:rRNA from 1 species